rnacentral:rRNA from 1 species
GUGAGGAAUAUUGCACAAUGGGCGAAAGCCUGAUGCAGCAACGCCGCGUGAGUGAUGAAGGCCUUUGGGUCGUAAAACUCUGUCCUUGGGGAAGAAAAAAAUGACGGUACCCUUGGAGGAAGCCCCGGCUAACUACGUGCCAGCAGCCGCGGUAAUACGUAGGGGGCAAGCGUUAUCCGGAAUUAUUGGGCGUAAAGAGUGCGUAGGUGGUUUUGUAAGCGUAGGGUGAAAGGCAGUAGCUCAACUAUUGUUAGCCCUGCGAACUGUGAGACUUGAGUGCAGGAGAGGAAAGUGGAAUUCCUAGUGUAGCGGUGAAAUGCGUAGAUAUUAGGAGGAACACCAGUGGCGAAGGCGACUUUCUGGACUGUAACUGACACUGAGGCACGAAAGCGUGGGUAGCAAACAGGAUUAGAUACCCGGGUAGUCC